rnacentral:rRNA from 1 species
GACGAACGCUGGCGGCGUGCCUAAUACAUGCAAGUAGAACGCUGAAGGAGGAGCUUGCUUCUCCGGAUGAGUUGCGAACGGGUGAGUAACGCGUAGGUAACCUGCCUGGUAGCGGGGGAUAACUAUUGGAAACGAUAGCUAAUACCGCAUAACAGUAGAUGUUGCAUGACAUUUGCUUAAAAGGUGCAAUUGCAUCACUACCAGAUGGACCUGCGUUGUAUUAGCUAGUUGGUGAGGUAACGGCUCACCAAGGCGACGAUACAUAGCCGACCUGAGAGGGUGAUCGGCCACACUGGGACUGAGACACGACCCAGACUCCUACGGGAGGCAGCAGUAGGGAAUCUUCGGCAAUGGACGGAAGUCUGACCGAGCAACGCCGCGUGAGUGAAGAAGGUUUUCGGAUCGUAAAGCUCUGUUGUAAGAGAAGAACGAGUGUGAGAGUGGAAAGUUCACACUGUGACGGUAUCUUACCAGAAAGGGACGGCUAACUACGUG